rnacentral:lncRNA from 1 species
CUGGGUGCCAGGCCCCUGAUGAACAAGACAGGUGCAUUCCUGGCUCCACGGAGCUCAUAGCUCAUGACUUCCACGUACAAGGGCAGUGGGCAGGGAGGAAGAAAUGAUCCCACGCAAAGGUACAAGACCCGGAUGGCCAUCUGACUUCUCGACAGCAACAA